rnacentral:rRNA from 1 species
AGAGUUUGAUCCUGGCUCAGGACGAACGCUGGCGGCACGCUUAACACAUGCAAGUCGAACGGAGAACAUUGAGCUUGCUUAAUGUUCUUAGUGGCGGACGGGUGAGUAACACGUGAGUAACCUGCCUCUGAGAGUGGGAUAGCUUCUGGAAACGGAUGGUAAUACCGCAUAACAUCAUGGAUUCGCAUGUUUCUAUGAUCAAAGAUUUAUCGCUCAGAGAUGGACUCGCGUCUGAUUAGAUAGUUGGUGAGGUAACGGCUCACCAAGUCGACGAUCAGUAGCCGGACUGAGAGGUUGACCGGCCACAUUGGGACUGAGACACGGCCCAGACUCCUACGGGAGGCAGCAGUGGGGAGUAUUGCACAAUGGGGGAAACCCUGAUGCAGCGAUGCCGCGUGGAGGAAGAAGGUUUUCGGAUUGUAAACUCCUGUCGAAGAGGACGAUAAUGACGGUACUCUUCAAGAAAGCUCCGGCUAACUACGUGCCAGCAGCCGCGGUAAAACGUAGGUCACAAGCGUUGUCCGGAAUUACUGGGUGUAAAGGGAGCGCAGGCGGGAAGACAAGUUGGAAGUGAAAUCUAUGGGCUCAACCCAUAAACUGCUUUCAAAACUGUUUUUCUUGAGUAGUGCAGAGGUAGGCGGAAUUCCCGGUGUAGCGGUGGAAUGCGUAGAUAUCGGGAGGAACACCAGUGGCGAAGGCGGCCUACUGGGCACCAACUGACGCUGAGGCUCGAAAGUGUGGGUAGCAAACAGGAUUAGAUACCCUGGUAGUCCACACCGUAAACGAUGAUUACUAGGUGUUGGAGGAUUGACCCCUUCCAGUGCCGCAGUUA